UGAUAAAGACGUUGACUUACAAAGCAUUUUUCGCCAACAAUCAUCAGGCGGUCACGAUCACUCCGCCUUCGAAAUCCCUACGACUUCGCGCUUCAAUUAAAUCUCUCUCUCUCUCUCUCUCUCUCUCUCUCUCUGUGACUUCUUUGAGAAGUUAAACCACAUUGGCUUUCUUGCAACGCAAUUCGAUUAGGGUUUGGCCUGAAAAUGUCGACCCGGAAUCGCCGUCAACCGCCAUUGUCAUCCUCGUUGUCGGAGACAAAGAAGCCCUCGAUUUCGCAUCAUCCGGACAAGAAGCCCAUGGCGGCCAAGACCCAAGUGCUGAAGAAGCGAACUGCUCUCGCUGACGUCACGAACCAGAGGAAUAGGUGUCAAAGCGUUCCACCGACUUUAGCUUCGUCGAAGCCCAUGGUGCCAUGUACAAAUAAAAUUGCUAAGACGAUUGCCAAUAAGACGACUGCUAAGACGACAAAGGAAGUGUCAUCUUGCACGAGUAAUACUGGCUUGUCAGGGAAUGUCUUUCAAGCAUCGUUGAGUGCAAAAUCAAACAUCCUGGUUCCUUUCAGUGAUACAUCAUUCUCAGGAACUGAUCCGGCUAUCAAAGUAAUUUGCACUGAUCCUUCUCCAAGCAGCAGUGGUACUGUCCUUCCUGCUCUCAGUUGCAUAAAUCAUGCAUUCAGAAGCUGGGAUGCAUCUCCAAGCAGAUCAGUUAGUGCUUCAGUUUCUUUGGAUGAGAGCAUGUCUACAUGUGAUUCGUUAAAUUCUCCAGAAUUUGAAUAUAUUGACAAUGAGGAUGUUUCAGAUGUUAAAUGGAUUGAGAAGAAAACAACUAAGAGCCUAUUCAUUUCGAACCAUCCAGGAAAAGAAGCCAAUAUCUGGAAGAAAGAUAUAUUUUUCGAUAUGGAGGCAACAGAUAAAGUCGUUGCUAUGGAUGACAAUUUUAUGGAUCCACAGUUUUGUGCAGCCAUUGCUCCUGACAUAUACAAGCACUUGCGUGAAUCUGAGGAAAAUAGAAGGCCCUCCAUGGACUUUAUGGAAACAAUCCAGAAAGACAUUAAUGCCGGCAUGCGUGCUAUUCUGAUUGAUUGGCUAGUAGAGGUUGCUGAAGAGUUCAGGCUUGUACCAGAAACUCUAUUUCUGACUAUCAACUAUGUAGACCGUUAUCUUUCUGGCAAUGUGAUGAAUAGAAAACAAUUGCAGUUGCUGGGGGUUGCCUGCAUGAUGAUUGCAGCUAAAUACGAGGAGAUUGUUGCUCCCGAGGUGGAACAGUUCUGUUACAUUACGGACAACACAUACACCAAAAAGGAGGUUUUGCAAAUGGAAUCCUCUGUCCUGAAUCACUUGAAGUUUGAAAUGACAGCUCCAACGGCCUUGUGCUUUUUGAGGCGAUUUUGUUUUGCUGCUCAAAAGACCAGUAAGGUUCCAUCAGAGCAUUUCCGGUGCUUGGCCUCCUACAUCACAGAGUUGUCUCUUCUAGAAUAUAGCAUGCUUUGUUAUGCCCCAUCUCUAAUAGCUGCUUCUGCUGCCUUCUUGGCAAAAAUUCUACGUUGAGACACUACACACUUUACCAAGCCUCUGAUUUGUUUGAUUGUGUAAAAGCGCUGCAUCAACUGUGUUGUAAUGGCUGUGGUUCAAACUUACCUGCAGUUAGGGAGAAGUACUGUCAACAUAAAUACAAGUUCGUGGCGAAGAAGUACUGUCCCCCAUCAAUACCUCCAGAGUUCUUCCAGGAUUUAAGCAACUAGAAGCUCGCAUGAGUGCUCCAAUGCUCUUGCACAAAUGCAGUUCUUGUUAGAUACUUUGUCUACUUCAAAGAUCAAAUUAGGUAGGAAAUCCAUUCAUUUUUGUGUAUUUGUGUGUAUUAUGUUUUGCUUAGGAGUUAGAACGAAAAGAUUGUUGGUUUGGACAGGAUAAAGCAUUACUCCACCGAUUGAUUUUAUCGUUGGGUUUCUUCGUCUCAGGUCGAGAUAUGGAUGUGAUGAAUUUGUAUGCCAAAUUUGUGUGAUGAAUUUGUAUGCCAUGCUGAUGUGCUUGCCUUACAGGCUGAUGCCAAUGGGGGCUUUAUCCUCUAUGAAGCUAUUACAUAUGAAGCUCAAGUAAGACAUUUCAUCUCCAUUAAGCUGGAAAAUAGGGUUAGACUUACCACUUGGGCUAGCAACUUCCUUUCUUUGGUAGCAAAAAAUUAGGCAACAUUUAGCCCCAAUAAGUAGUGGGUCCCACGAGAAAAAUAGCUACUCGUGAGCCAAAUUUUGCCACUCUUCUCACUUGCGAAUACACUUGUACUUUUUUUUUAAAAUUUUUUUUCAAUUCUUUUUCUUUACAUAAUUUUGUUCAAAGGUCCUCCAUUUUAAUUGUAUGUUUAAUU